AGAGUUUGAUCAUGGCUCAGGAUGAACGCUGGCGGCGUGCCUAACACAUGCAAGUCGAACGAGGUAUUUUGAUUGAAGUUUUCGGAUGGAUUUCAAGAUACCGAGUGGCGGACGGGUGAGUAACGCGUGGGUAACCUGCCUCAUACAGGGGGAUAACGGUUAGAAAUGACUGCUAAUACCGCAUAAGCGCACAGUACCGCAUGGUACGGUGUGAAAAACUCCGGUGGUAUGAGAUGGACCCGCGUCUGAUUAGCUAGUUGGUGAGGUAACGGCCCACCAAGGCGACGAUCAGUAGCCGACCUGAGAGGGUGACCGGCCACAUUGGGACUGAGACACGGCCCAGACUCCUACGGGAGGCAGCAGUGGGGGGUAUUGCACAAUGGAGGAAACUCUGAUGCAGCGACGCCGCGU
rnacentral:rRNA from 1 species